GAUGAACGCUGGCGGCGUGCCUAAUACAUGCAAGUCGAGCGAACAGACGAGGAGCUUGCUCCUCUGACGUUAGCGGCGGACGGGUGAGUAACACGUGGAUAACCUACCUAUAAGACUGGGAUAACUUCGGGAAACCGGAGCUAAUACCGGAUAAUAUAUUGAACCGCAUGGUUCAAUAGUGAAAGACGGUUUUGCUGUCACUUAUAGAUGGAUCCGCGCCGCAUUAGCUAGUUGGUAAGGUAACGGCUUACCAGGGCGACGAUGCGUAGCCGACCUGAGAGGGUGAUCGGCCACACUGGAACUGAGACACGGUCCAGACUCCUACGGGAGGCAGCAGUAGGGAAUCUUCCGCAAUGGGCGAAAGCCUGACGGAGCAACGCCGCGUGAGUGAUGAGGGUCUUCGGAUCGUAAAACUCUGUUAUUAGGGAAGAACAAAUGUGUAAGUAACUAUGCACGUCUUGACGGUACCUAAUCAGAAAGCCACGGCUAACUACGUG
rnacentral:rRNA from 1 species